rnacentral:rRNA from 1 species
AUUGAACGCUGGCGGCAUGCCUUACACAUGCAAGUCGAACGGCAGCACGGGUGCUUGCACCUGGUGGCGAGUGGCGAACGGGUGAGUAAUAUAUCGGAACGUACCUUAUUGUGGGGGAUAACGCAGCGAAAGCUGUGCUAGUACCGCAUAAUCCCUAAGGGGGAAAGCGGGGGACCGUAAGGCCUCGCGCAAUUAGAGCGGCCGAUACCUGAUUCGCUAGUUGGUGAGGUAAAGGCUCACCAAGGCAACGAUCAGUAGCUGGUCUGAGAGGACGAGCAGCCAGCCAGGGACCGAGAUCCGGCCCAGACUCCUCCGGGAGGCAGCAGUGGGGAAUUUGGGACAAUGGGCGCAACCCUGAUCCAGCAAUGCCGCGUGAGUGAAGAAGGCCUUCGGGUUGUAAAGCUCGUUUGUCAGGGAAGAAACAGCAGCUCUAACACAGUCUGCGACUGACGGUACCUGAAGAAUAAGCACCGGCUAACUACGUGCCAGCAGCCGCAGUAA